GUUGAUGUAAAAUAUUCUUGAUGGCAAAAUCCCCAAAAACUGAAACAGACUUUUACUAGAAUAACCACCAAACUUUGCGCAAAGCAUUGGUGAAAUGGAGCCCCUCUCAUCCAUUACAAGUCCUAUCACUGGGACCCUGAAAUUCAAUAAAAUCAUAAAUCAGAAAAAGAGGAACUUACCACAGAACCUAUCAACUUAAAUUCCUAUAUACUUUGAAUGUAAGAUGGUGCUAGAACAUGUUCAAUGAGAUCAAUAUAUACUAACCUUCUCUUUCCAUGCUUCUUCUUGUUUGGUAUCCAAGAACCGUUGGGGGACACCGCUGGAAUUGUUUCACAUUACCUUCACAUCAAAAAUAUCAUAGCGAAGUUGAUAUGAACUUCAUCUUCGAAUCCGAGAAGCUCAGUUACUCUAUUAACAGUCCAUGGACGGAGAACACCCAUUCGGCUUCCUCAUGUCCACCUUUAAAACAUAAUUGAUGUACCAUUAAUCACAUUAAAUUAGCAUAUCCGACUCUGUCCCAAUACCUCAAUUUAUUCAGUCAUUGAUUAACUUCUGUAAUUCUUAGUUACCAGAACCAUGGAUCUUAAUUCUUAAAGAAAUGCUGAUGCAGAAGAAUCUCGCCCCGCAGCUGACACAACCAAUACUGUGCAACUGGAAGUUGUCAAUGGCUGUGAUGUGAAGCUUUUUAACACCUGUUUGACAAACAGACUAUUUUUAGAAAACAGAGUUUAUCAGAUUUCUAAGGGUAAGCAAAGUUGGUAACUAAAUCUGAUAAUAACAAGCUCCUACUUGUAUUAGUAAUGAGCUUCCAAAUCUACAUAGUUUUCCUUUGUUCACAACAGUCAAAGGGCCUAAAAAUAAAGAAAUAUGUUAUGUCAUCUAUAAUAAGAGACCCAUGUUAGAGGUAGUGUAAAUAUAACAACAAAGGGUGUCCAGAUGAGUUUCCCAGCUUCUACAAAUCCAGCAAUAUAGUCUGAUCUAAAGCAUUGUACGAAUAUUUGCUACAGUUGAAAUAUUGAUUGAUAAGUCAGAUAAUUGCUUAAUCCCACAUAUAGUACUCUUCCAAAUAAUCAGCAAACAUAAAAUAGUACAUAUGUCAGAAAAUGAAUAAAACCAUAAAACAGUAACAUAUCCAAAUUCUAACCCAUUUUUUACUGAAUGUUUAAAGCUAAGGGUGUUGAUGCCACCUUGUACUUAGAGGACUUGUGCACUUGAUGUUCAAAUUUCACAGGCAAACCCCUAGAACCAAAGAUGCAAGAAAGAGCUAUCAGUGUCUCCACAACUGUCGGUUAGUCCUCUGAUGGUUAAUCAUCUCCUCAAAACCAUGCAGCGCCAGUUCCCACUAGGCAUUUCUACGCACAAUUACAGACUCCAAGUAUGUGAUUAGGAAUUUUACAGAACUGAAAAUACAGCUUCCUUUUUACAAUUUAUACUGAAAUACAGCUUACAGAAAAUCUAUACUGAAAAGACAUUGGAAAAAUAGAACUGAUGUGAAUAUAAAUUAGAUCCUCGAUUGAACUGAUAAUAGAAACUCUUUUGUGCAUAUUGAUGAGCAGAAAUACAGUAGAUUAUAGCAACAUGCAUGGUUCUGGAGAACUACUGUAUGGAUUUUGAUUUGUAGCAAAAUUCGACACAUGCAGGAGCUGGUCAAGACAAAUUAAACUAAUAUACUGGAGAGAAUAUAAUCAAUUAAACUAAACCAACUGGAUAAAGAGAACAUACUGGUUUGGAUAUCACAAAUCCCGAAUGGAGAAGCUCUUUGAUGAAAUCGAAGCCACCCUCAACUUAACCGGCUGUACAUAUAGCUAUAUUGUCCAAGCUUGCUCAAUCAAGCUAGGUUGAGCCUCUU
rnacentral:lncRNA from 1 species